rnacentral:rRNA from 1 species
UACGUAGGUGGCAAGCGUUGUCCGGAUUCAUUGGGCGUAAAGGGUGUGUAGGUGGCGCGCUAAGUCGGGUGUGAAAUUUCGGAGCUUAACUCCGAAACUGCAUUCGAUACUGGCGUGCUUGAGGACUGGAGAGGAGACUGGAAUUCAUGGUGUAGCAGUGAAAUGCGUAGAGAUCAUGAGGAAGACCAGUGGCGAAGGCGGGUCUCUGGACAGUUCCUGACACUGAGACACGAAGGCCAGGGGAGCAAACGGG